GACGAACGCUGGCGGCGUGCUUAACACAUGCAAGUGGAGCGACGAACCAGGGCUUGCCCUGGGGCAAAGCCGCGAACGGGUGAGUAACACGUGGGUAACCUACCCCGAUAAUCGGGACAACCCGGGGAAACUCGGGCUAAUACCGAAUGUGCCCUUCGGGGGAAAGAUUUAUCGCCAUUAGAGCGGCCCGCGUCUGAUUAGCUUGUUGGUGAGGUAAUGGCUCACCAAGGCGACGAUCAGUAGCUGGUCUGAGAGGAUGAUCAGCCACAUUGGGACUGAGACACGGCCCAAACUCCUACGGGAGGCAGCAGUGGGGAAUCUUGCGCAAUGGGCGAAAGCCUGACGCAGCCAUGCCGCGUGAAUGAUGAAGGUCUUAGGAUUGUAAAAUUCUUUCACCGGGGACGAUAAUGACGGUACCCGGAGAAGAAGCCCCGGCUAACUUCGUGCCAGCCGCCGCCGUAACAC
rnacentral:rRNA from 1 species